GAUGAACGCUGGCGGCGUGCCUAAUACAUGCAAGUCGAGCGAACAGACGAGGAGCUUGCUCCUCUGACGUUAGCGGCGGACGGGUGAGUAACACGUGGAUAACCUACCUAUAAGACUUGGAUAACUUCGGGAAACCGGAGCUAAUACCGGAUAAUAUAUUGAACCGCAUGGUUCAAUAGUGAAAGACGGUUUUGCUGUCACUUAUAGAUGGAUCCGCGCCGCAUUAGCUAGUUGGUAAGGUAACGGCUUACCAAGGCAACGAUGCGUAGCCGACCUGAGAGGGUGAUCGGCCACACUGGAACUGAGACACGGUCCAGACUCCUACGGGAGGCAGCAGUAGGGAAUCUUCCGCAAUGGGCGAAAGCCUGAAGGAGCAACGCCGCGUGAGUGAUGAAGGUCUUCGGAUCGUAAAACUCUGUUAUUAGGGAAGAACAAAUGUGUAAGUAACUAUGCAAGUCUUGACGGUACCUAAUCAGAAAGCCACGGCUAACUACGUG
rnacentral:rRNA from 1 species